AGUACUAUCCUCCUCCACCAGGAGCAGCUUAUCCGCCGCAAGGUUACCCUCCGCAGGGAUAUGGAUAUUCUCCAGUUGCCGGGUACCCGCCAUCUGGUUACAGUACCGGCCUGUAUGCUCCACCUCAUCAUUCAGGUUUGAAUCUGCAGAUAUAUUUUGAUUUGAAUGUUAAUUUGCGUUAUUGUUUAUUAAUUUCUGAAGCUGUUGACUUAUUUAUACAUUCGUGGUACGUUUUUAUAUUAGGAUAUGGUGGCGUAGGGGGACUGUUAGCCGGGGCUGCUGCUGCUUAUGGUACUCACCACAUGUCGCACCAUGGGUACGGCGGGCACCAUCACGGCAAGUUCAAGCAUGGAAAGCACUACGGUGGCUUCAGGCAUGGAAAGCAUGGAGGAAAGAAGUGGAAGUAAACUUCUAAAUUUGUACCAAUUCAACCUAUCGCUACAAACGCUUCCCUAUUAA
rnacentral:lncRNA from 1 species